UAUUUUCAAGGGACAUAAUUGUGGUCUGACUGUAUUAUUUCAAAAAUCACAUUUGAGAUUUUUUUACUUGCACACCGGUACAGCUUUUGCGGGGAAACGAAAGUUGCUGGAAUUUUGUCUUCUUCUAAAAACAAGUGUCUGCUACAUGUAGUUGCAGUCUGUCUUCGGAAGCUGUUGAAGUAACAAGAAAGAGGCUACAUUGACAUCCUGUUUUGGUAGGGAGAAGUUUGAGUAUGUACAGUUGUUUGACCUGUCUUACCAUGUGGCAGUCCCAGAAGAUGUUACCAUUAUGAAUAAAUGCAGGGGAACUUGAAGACAAUGGUUAGUGCAGAAGGGACAUAAAAGUAAUGUGAAAGUAACAGAUAUAAAUAAGAAGUUCUACAAGUGUGUUGUCAUGUGAAAAGGACUUUACCCCAACUGUGCUGCAUGAUGUAUAUUCAAGAGUGAGACAGCCAUGCACCAUCUGUAAACUGAGAUGGACCCACACAUGAAAUAUGUUGACUUUUCUAUGUAUUAUCAUCUGUACACAAUGUGUUUAUGACAAGACUGUAUACAUAUAUUGUUAAAUCAUUUUUUAUUUCCAUUAUGGCAUGCAUGUAAGAAGAAAGCAUUAAAUAAACAAUUGCAUUCAUAGAAAUGUUAAAAUGUGAUCAAUCUAAUUUAAAGAAUAACCUUUAAUUGGACUAUCUAAGUUUCAUAUUAUUUUUGGUGGAGAUUGACCCAGUCAUUCAGCAACUUAUACUGUCUGUGAGUCAUUUCUUGUAUGUUAUAGUUUUCUUAAUAAUGCAUAAAAUAUCAAAAUAAUGGUUAGAUGAACUCAUUCAUCACUUGUACAUUAAUGUUAAAGCAGUUCAACAUUUUACCAUAACUUAAUUAAUAUUCUAUUAACCAGAGUUGUCACAUAUUUUCAUAUAAACAUUUGUAUAAUACAGUCUAAUCUAAUCUAGAAAUGAUGUUCCACAAUUUUUCAGUUAUACUUUUUUUUGUUUUGAUGUCUCAACAUAUAAUUACUAACAUCAACAAAACUUAGAUAUUUUACAAUUUGGUUGGUAUAAAUGGUUGUUUUGUUGAUAUGUUUUAUUUAUUUCCAUCCAGGGGAAUAAAGAAAUAUACAUUUUAAAAUAUCUCAUCAUUCCAGAUAAGUACACUACAUAAUCAUGAUAAAAGAAAUAAGAAAAAUUAUGUUGGUGGAAUUUUAUUUUAAAAAAAUGAUAAACAGUCUUUGUAGUAUUUACUUCUUUAGAUAUGUUGGACUGAAAUGGGAAUAACAACAUACUUUAAAUUUUUGUAGUCAUAAGUUAAUAUGGGAAUUAUUAACUUGAAAUAGAUUUUAUCUCGCUGUUAUGCCAUCUGAGCUUUAAUAUUUUUAAACAUUGUCAUUGAUAACAAGGCUAAACAUUAUUUCUUAUGUAUACCUUGCAUUCAUGUGUGAUAAAUGACUUUAUGGUAUUCUUUAAUAUGAUGUAUGCUUUUCAUCUUACCAUGGAUUAAAAAAAAUAUAUAUUUAUUUGUCUGAAAAUUAAGGUAAAAAUACUGACUGAUUAAAUUUCAAUAUAAGAAAGCUUACAUGAGAUAAAGGGAGGUAAUUCCAUAAAAAAUAUGUAGAAUGUAGAUGAUAAAUAUAAUGAAGGGAGGUAAUAAAAUAUUGUGAAGUUAA